rnacentral:rRNA from 1 species
GACGAACGCUGGCGGCGUGCUUAACACAUGCAAGUCGAGCGGUAAGGCCCCUUCGGGGGUACACGAGCGGCGAACGGGUGAGUAACACGUGGGUGACCUGCCCUCAGCUCUGGGAUAAGCCUGGGAAACCGGGUCUAAUACUGGAUAUGACUCCAUGACGCAUGUUGUGGGGUGGAAAGCCUUGUGCGGCUGAGGAUGGGCCCCGCGGCCUAUCAGCUUGUUGGUGGGGUGANGGCCUACCAAGGCGACGACGGGUAGCCGGCCUGAGAGGGCGACCGGCCACACUGGGACUGAGACACGGCCCAGACUCCUACGGGAGGCAGCAGUGGGGAAUCUUGCGCAAUGGGCGAAAGCCUGACGCAGCGACGCCGCGUGAGGGAUGACGGCCUGGUGUAAGU